rnacentral:rRNA from 1 species
AGGCGGGCGUGAGCGCGGGGUGGGUGGGUGAUACGAGAGAAGGGGCUAGGGGAGGGUACUUGGGAUCGGAGGACCACGGCGGUGGGGAGGGGGCACCAGCCGGAGCUGCUCGUGCCGGAGCUAGGCCGGAGUCAUCCUUCUGGAGCUCGGCUCCUCGCGCCGGAGCUAGCCCUGAGCCGUAGACUUCGUCGCUGCCUCCUCCCCUUUCCUCCCCUCGUCGUCGGUCGUAGUCCCGCCGCCGCUCCCCUCGUAUCCGCCGACGAGACGACGACGACGGUAGGCUGGAAAGGGAGAGGGAGUCAAAGAGUUGAGUCGUACUCCUAGAAUCUGGCUUCGAUGUCCUCCCCCGCGGUGGUUGUACAGAAGGCAGAGGCGCUCGGUUGCUGCUGCUCCUCGAUACCUCUCGGUGGUACCUAAGCGACGAUGUAGUUGCGAAGUAGAGUUCCACAGUGUUGUCUACAAACACAUUUAUGGGCUCUCCUUCUGAAGAACCCCUUCUACAACUAUACAGACAUAGAAGAAAACAAACUUUCCCCGAUCGAAAAUGACACUUAGAGAUCCUGUCAAACCGUGUACUCCGUCAUCUCUACCUAAUCAAUGUUCCUAUAAUCCUCUCUUUUUUUAAACCACUGAAACUGUUCGAACCUAACUGUCUAGUAAGUACGGUACCAACCUACACUUAUCCCGUCACAUGUAGGUUUUAAACAAACCAACUAGUCUGAUAAACAAGCAAACCGACAGAAUUACGUUAUGGUAAACGUAUUUAAAACGUUUGUAGUCGUUUCUAAAGUCGUCGUCCCUCACAAACGGCGUCACCUUUGCUUCGUUCUUGAUCUUCCUCGAGUCCUAAAACGAUGAUGCAACGAUUUCGAAACACUCACUUACCACCUACUAGAACUCUAUUUCCGACCGACCGACAUCUACCAGCGUGAGCGUGGACAUCAUGAUUCCUACCUACAGGACCUGCACUAGAGUUCCGUGCCCGGUUCACAGUCGUACCUCCUGGACCUUGUCAUACUUUCCAAGUUACUCGUUAAGCCGUUCGUCCCAACUAGUACUUCUCUCUCUCUCUCUCUCAUGAGGUGAACAUGACUUCUUUAUGACGUGCUUAUACCAACCAACACGGAACCUUCUUCAACCUAAGCGGCGCAGGGUUCAGCUCUCCAUGGGUAACGCCUAUUAUGAGCAUUUGUUUGUUUAGGUGGCCGCUCUUUACGAAGUAUACGAAGAAAAAAACAAGCCAGCUAAGUCGAAGGACUUAGAACUCACCAAAAGUGGUAACCCUUUAAGUUCGCUGCCUUCCCCAUAGACACGAAAACGUGUUUCCAUAUUGGUAUAUUCACGUUAUAUUCCCGAUUAAUCUUCAUAUAUGACUCUGUUUUGUUCAACGACUCCUUUGACGACGACGUCGACUUCUACGUUUAUUACAAGAGACAUUGGUUCACCUUGCGUUUUCCGUUAAGGAAAGUUAGGUACCUUGUUACACACGCAAUCCGCUAUCGUUCCGGCAGCCUGUUAGUACUACGAUAAAAGAAUAAACUUUAGUCUUACGAUGAUCCUGUCAGAAUUAAAACCUUUUAGUCUAGUUUGUUCUCUAUACUAACUAUGGACCACUAUGUUAACCUCUUUCCCUAUACUAUACAGACCGUUACCAAAUCCUUCUAUGUUAACCACAAGUCUAACAAUCCAUGCUCCUAGUAGUCACCGGUACGUCCUCGUUGUUGUCCUCUAUUACGGGUCAAGCACUUAAAUAAGAGAAUCGAAGCUCCGAAGGACGAGUUCCUCCCUCGUCGUCCGUAUCUUCUUUAGGGUUCGGUUAAAACGAGUCGACAUCGUAGAAGGUGACUGUUAUUCAGACGUGUCGUCGUACCAACUACAAGAACGAGUCCUAUUCGGUUGUUACCUCUUUGACUGGUUCGAUAGAAAGUACUAGUCAAUGUGUGCUUCGGAUAUAAAAACGACGAAGAUGUACAACGAUACUACCAAUAAGUCGGGUAAAAGAACUUGGACGUGAUGUUGCUCUCUAGACCCGACGAAGAAACACCGAAGGUUUGAAUUUUACAAACAAACCUUCAAUCGUGAUCAUCUUUUUCCCCGAAAACAGGGCCAACCAUUCCGGGAAAUCAGGGCCAAAAGCUUGGCCCUGAUUUCCCAGCAAUGAUUACGGAGAGGGGAAAUCAGGGCCAAGAAUGUGCUUGGCCCUGAUUUCCCGCGCCGGUGCACCUCGAGGUGGAAAUCAGGACCAACCACAUCCUUUAAAAUACUAAAAAAAUAUUUUUUCAAAAAACUUUUUUUUUAACUUAAAAAAAAUAAAAGUUUAAAGACUUAAUAAAAUUGGAGAUCAGAGAUUAGUGGUGGGGAGUAGUAAAGUUUAGUAGAUUGAAGGACUUGCCAGUGGGUAGGAGGGUGAGGGGGUCGGACUCGUGCGAAUUGAAGGUCCAAGAUAAGAGGGAGCAAAGGUUCAGACGUGAACAACAAAAGGACUGUUAUCAUUCUACAGUUAGGAUAAUUGGAAGUCCUUAAAACGAACUCGUACUUCACUGUGUAAAGUGACAAACUCAAACUUUGAUAACAAAAUUUUUUGUUAUUAAUAAAUCAUUGUGAUUAUAAAGAACUUAUUAAUCAAACUGGUAACAAACUGGUGUCAAACUGGUCUAAACUGGUUUUAAGUUUUAUUGACUUUAUUAAUAAAUCAUUGUGAUUAUAAGAUCUUAUUAAUCAAACUGGUAACAAACUGGUAUCAAACUGGUGACAAACUGGUCUAAACUGGUGUAAAAAAGGUUUUUUUUAAACUUUGAUAUAAAAAAAGACAAUGAUCACCGCGUGGAUCGUUUACCACGCGGUGAUCAUUCAAACUUUAAAAAAGCUAAAAAAGGUGAGAUCUAGAAUUUUCGGGGCAUUGAAAAAGACAAUCCAAAAACUCCUAAAACUUUUACAAAUUGCCCCAAGGGGAUCAAUUUAAGAAUACAUUGAAAAGCUCAUCUACUAAAAAGUAUAUUUUUUGAAAAAUUAGGCUCAAGCAUACGUUUUCAAUACGGGUAAAAUGUUUAAGGUCUCUCUAAAACGUUUAUUUCAGCUUUAAGUAUAAACAUUAAAAAG